ACGAACGCUGGCGGCGUGCCUAACACAUGCAAGUCAACUUGAACUGAAGGAGCAAUCUGACAGUAGAGUGGCGCAAGGGUGCGUAACGCGUAAGUAACUUGCCCCAAGGUAAGGAAUAACGUCGAGAAAUCGGCGCUAAUACCUCAUAAUGCAGCGGAUCCGCAUGGAUAUGUUGUUAAAGGUUUACCGCCUUGGGAUAGGCUUGCGUCUGAUUAGCUAGUUGGUGUGGUAACGGCACACCAAGGCUACGAUCAGUAACUGGUCUGAGAGGAUGAUCAGUCACACUGGAACUGAGACACGGUCCAGACUCCUACGGGAGGCAGCAGUGAGGAAUAUUGGGCAAUGCUCGAAAGGGUGACCCAGCAACGCCGCGUGGAGGAUGAAGGUAUUCUAUAUCGUAAACUCCUGUGAGAGCAGACGAAAGACAGAUUAUUAAUCUGGAUGACUGUAUGCUCAGAGGAAGCCCCGGCUAACUACGUG
rnacentral:rRNA from 1 species